ensembl:lncRNA
UAACACAACUCUUGGGGAGGGGGCCUUGUCCACAGCCCCCAUGCUGAGAGGAGCAGCCUCCCUGUGCAGCCUUGAGCUGGAAACCACAGGAGCUGCACUGGUUGGGGGAAGUGUGGCCAGGCAUCCGGCUCAGCUCUGUCCAGCACCCAUUUAAUCAUCCUGGCCUCCCCAGGGGCCGGGAUGACUUCCGGUCCCACUGCGGCAUUGGACCUGCUGGUGAAAAGCAGGCCUCAGAGCACCUGGGGCAGAUCACAGGGAGAACGUGGGGUUUUGAGCAGCUCUUGAUGACCCUCAGCCUCUCAUCUGAAGACAGGAAGGGAAGUGCAGGGAAGAGAACGUGGUCUGAGCAGCCGCUGGGCAACAUAAAGCCAUUUUCUCUUCUGAAGGACAGGCUGAGGGCAGUGCCGUGGGUUGGGAGUGAAGGUUACACAAAAAAACGGAUGCUGUGGUCCCUGGAGUCUGGCAAAUGCCAGAUUCGGCCAAAAUUAAGCCUGCUGUGUCCCUGGAGGACUUCUCAGAGCCUUUAACACACCCUGAUGCUCUGCAGCCAGGGCCAGAGUUCAGAGUGUUUCUCAGACAUCUGACCGCGCUCGAGAAUGGUGGUAUGCAGGAUUGGAACCCAGACUUGGGAUUUGAGAGAGCAGUCUACAGAGGGAGGAUGAGAUGCCCCGGUUCGGGUGGUGGCCCAUGCUCUCAAACAGGGAGAUCGAGGCCACCAGCCUGCGGACGGGGAGGACAGCCUGCCAGGCUCAGUGGGAGCAGGAGCCACUCUGUCACGCCCAGCAUGUGGGAUCUUAGUUCCCUGACAAAGGGGUGGCACCUGUUGCCCCUUCAUUGGAAGUGCAGAGGAGUCAAUCCCAGGACUCUUCGUUUGAGUGCUGUCCCUGCCGACCAGCACCUGGACUACUGCCUUCUCCGGCUGACAGAGUUGGGAUGGACUGUUUGGGUGCUGUCGGGCCCAGCACCCUCCCACAUGGGGAGACCUGAGGCCCAGAGAGGUGAGAACCACAACUUAUCAGCAAGUAGCAGAGCAGAGUGAGCAUCUGAGCCCCUCAGGCUCGGGGAGCCCUUUCCACGCGUUCCGGAUCCCCAGGCAAGAAGGUGCUGCCCAGCAACCCUAGGACAAGCCUGCGUGGGAAGCCAGAGACCUGCUUUUCCUAUCACCUCCCUGGGCCUAGCGUCUCGGGUGAUAAGACCAUCUAUGACUGCAAUACUCUGGUCUUUCCGGAAGUGUAACCGUGGAAGAGAUCCCUACUCCUCUGCGACACAGCCCUGCAGUUGGGAUGAAACCUUCUGGUAAACUCCUCCGCGAGGACAAAAGGGCGUUAGGUGGGGAGAUGGAUAGCGGGGAAUGCCGCAGGGCCGCUCCUCUACCUGGUCUGAAAGCUCAAAUCCUUCGGGUUCCAGAGGCACGCACUCUGGCAAAUCUCAGGCACCACCGCCAUUCAUCUCUGACCCUAAUUCCCCCCUGGAUGUAGAGGCAGGGUGGCGGGGAGCCGCCCAGCCUCGGGCAGAGUAGGAGGGCGUAAGCCCCAAGGAGGUGGGCGCACUCUGCCGGGCCGGGAACGGACCGGACGGACUGCAGGAUCAGCCAGGGACUCCGUCCCCAGCGCAGACAGCCCUGACUCCGUAGGGAAAGCGCGGCAGGCCCCGCGCACGCGCGCCGCGCUGGUGGAGCCGCUUUGUUCCAGGGCUACCUGCGGCUCCAUUCACCUCCUCCGCCGAGCCAGCCAGCCUGCCACCCGCAGCCAGUGCCGCUGAGGCCCCGCCCAUCCCGCGCUGGGUGGAACUUUUGGCGGGCCCCGCCUUCCCUCUGCCCCGCUCCUUCGGCAGCGAUUGGCGCUCUGCGUGGUGCGUCCCGCCUGUCAUUAAAGUUGAUUCGUGAGUUAGGAAA